AUUGCCCUCGAAGCGGCAUGGAAGCCAAAGCCAACGCCGCUGGCACGCCUCUUCCCCUUUCGAAGGUCUCGAGCUCUCGGAACCAUAAUCCUGGUCUGUCCCCGUCGGCGUCGCCGACGCGGCUAUGGCGGCCGGCGGCGCAGAGGAAUAUAAGGAACCAGUGGUCGAAGCUGCUCUCGAACAAGGAUCGGUGGGCCUCCGCGGCGUCGGAGGGGAGGUCGCAGGCUACCUCUCUCGUCAAUGCUUAUCUUAAUCAGAGGUACAUGCCGGCGAUGGAAUUGGGUGUUCUGAAGGAUAUGCCUGGGAUUCGGCAGAAGGCUUGUGACAAAUUGUCUCGUAAGCAGGAAACGUAUCGAAAAUUGCUGUUAUCAUCUUACAACGAUAUGGUACUUGCUGUUGCUGAACUGGUCAAGUCAGCUCGCUCUAUGCGUUGUUUCCUUAAAGGACCUAUUGCCAGCCCCCUGGCACAAUUUUCUGAUAUUCCAGAGCAUGAGAAUGAUCCUGGAGAUGGUGGAGGAAUUCCAGUUUUUUCAUCUUUUUCAAUUACAUACUUUGAGAAUCUUGCACAUGAGCUUGUCAAGAUGUUUCUAUCAGAGCUAAGUUUGAAGAGGUUCCUUGUGGUCGAGUUACUGUCGAUUAAACAUGAGGAAGGCAAAGGACAAUUUGAUAGAUUAAAAUGGUCAGAUGAGCUAUAUUCUGGAGAAUUUCAAGAUCUAACUAUUAGUGGUCUGUGCUCUGAGAAAAAUGUUGAGCCUUUACUUCCAUCGCUAAGAGGUCAGCAACCCUGUGCUUCCCUGACCACACAAGUUGAUCAUCCUUUGAGCAGUGAUGUUUUGCAGGUGUACCUAACAACAUGGCUUGCUGAUGUAAACAUUGACACGAAUAGAAUCAAUGACAUAUUUACUAUUGUCGAAGAAGAAACACAGGUCAAACUGUCGUGAUGUUUUGAGUGUUCUGAGUGAUGAAAGGUUAUGAAGAAACAUUUGAACUGCAGGGAGGAAGCAAAUAUGAAGUGUAUGCAAACCUGAGAACUUAUUGUGGCUCUUAGCUUUGCAGUGGAAAGAGAGUAACCAGAGCAAGAAAGACUUGGGGCAAUGACAGGUAAUCCAAGAACAUUCCCAGGAGGGUACGUGAUGCGAACAGAGCCAAUGCAUGCCGUGGCUGCAGGAUUCUUGGCGAAUGCUUCCUUUUGUCUGCUAUCUGGCAGCAGUUCCCAUGCAGCACUGCAACCUUAACACCGGCACCGUGGCCAUGUAUUUGAGGCAUGUCUUCUUGCGAAUCCUCGUCAGGUUGCAGCUUUAUAACUGAUGUGCCAAACUUUGUCAGCAGGGGAAUGCAACAUGGCACAUGAAGCUGCAACUGGAAACGCAUAUAUAUAUAUAUAUAUAUAUAUAUAUAUAUAUAGAACACUGUGCCCUCUCUGCUGCUGCAGAAGCUCACCAAUCAACGAGCAAGUUUUGAUUGAUGUUUUGUGUUGUUGCAGCACUUUAGUAUCAAGACAACUUCAAGCUCUUGUUAGCUACUAUAAUUUCCAAGAAGAUUCAAAAACUUACUCUCUCUCGAUCUCUUUUUUUAAUUUAAUAUUAUUUUGGCUUUUUUUUUUUCUGUCAAUGCAUAGAUCUUAUAUUAUAGUUUGUGUAAGAAAAUCUUAUACUCAAAUAUUGGAUCAAAAGAUAAUGCUAGAGAACUGCA